CAGGCGGGCUGAGUCUGAAAAGAGAGUCAGCCGUAUCAGAUAUUUCUUUAUAGCAAUGCAAGAAUGACCUAACAUAGCAGCAGACCCAGGAAGGACUCUGGGCUUCCUGAAUCUAUUGAGUGUGCUAUAUACUCACCAGAUGUGAGACCCAGGGCAAGUCACUUCCCCCAUAACCCUCCCUCCCUCCCCUCAUCUCCCUGAGGGAGUAACAUUUCCUGCUUCAUCCAUGUCAGAAGGCAGUUAUGAAGCUGGAAAGAUCACGGAAGGCUGGAGACUGUAUAAUUCCACUCAUGAGGCACCUAGAGUAGCCAAGUUCAGAGAAAGAAUGGUGGUUUCCAGGGAUGAAGGGGGAGGGAGAAUGGGGAGUUAGUACUUAAUGGGUACAGAAUUUCAGUUUUGCAAGAUGAAAAUGGUUUUGGAGUUGGAUGGUGAUGGUUGUAUGAGCAUGUGAAUGUACUUGAUGCCAUAAAAGAAUACCUUCUAAAGAGAAUCGAGGCUGGGAACAGUGGCUUAUGCCUAUAAUCCCAGCACUUUGGGAGGCCAAGGCAGGUGGAUCAUUUGAGGUCAAGAGUUUGAGACCAGCUUUGGCCAAUAUGGUGAAACCCUGUCUCUACUAAAAAUACAAAAAUUAGCCAGGUGUGGUGGCAUGUGCCCAUAAUCCCAGCUACUAGGGAGCCUGAGGAAGGAGAAUUACUUAGAACCUGGGAGGUGGAGGUUGCAGUGAGCUGAGAUCAUGCCACUGCACUCCAGCCUAGGCAACAGAGCAAGACUCGACUUUGUGAGCACUGCUGCAGAAAGAGGACUUUCUCUCUCAUGGCUCUUGGGUUUUGCUGCCACCCAUAGCAGACUCCCAAACCCAGAGCCUUUUUUUCUAUACAGCUGUUCCACAGCCUCUCCACCCCAGCCCAUCAAUCACUCUGGCCCUGCUCUCAUCCAACUCCCCAGGGCCAUCUCAGGUAACACAGUCAUCCAUCAGCUAUGCCAGCACUCUCCCCUUCUUUGCCCACCUCACUCAACCCUCCAGCCCCAGGCUCGUCUCAGAGCCAUCUGCUGUUCCUGCCUCUCCUCUGCCCUUCCUAAUCAUCUUCCACCUGGACAAAUGCAGGAGGGGUGAACCAAGGCAGGUACUCUGGCAACAGAGAUCACCCUGCUUGGAGAAGAUUGCCUUCUUGUCUCUGUUCCCAGAGGCUCUAGGGUUCUAAGACAGCACUUGUCAAACUAUAGACAUGCACACAAGUCACAGUCUUGUUAAAAUGCAGAGUCUGACUCAGGAGGUCCAAGUGGGGCCUGAGUUGCUGCAUUUGUAACCUACCAGGUGAUGCUGAUGCUGCCAAUCUGGCCACAGCUUGAAAAGCCACAUCUGAAACACCACCCGGUUCCCCCUCUGCCUGACCCUGGGGGAGGACUUCUGAGAAGGAACUUAGUUGAUACUGGGAUCUUGCUUGAAUUUGCAGUGACUUCAGUUUAACUUGAAUAAAACUCGACUUUGAGGCAAGUACCAAUUCAUGGAGCUUGUCUUCAUCCAUCUUGGAGAAAGCUAUUUAGCAGAUGUUGAGAAAUUAUUUUUACCAAAGGAAUUAAGGGGGGAAGAGACAAAUCUUCCUUACAGAAGAAACCCAAAUAACAUAAAUCAAUACAACCCCAUCCAGGAGGUGGAGCUUAAUAUUCCUUUUCUCUCCUCCCCACCUCCCUAAAAAUAAGAAAAGGAUGAAAAUUAUGGCUCUACAAUGGAGAGAUCCGGCAGCUGCCACCUUAGCUGAGUGAUCAAGGUCAAUACCAUUUGGGAGGCAGGAGGCUGGGAGAUGAGAAAGAUGCUUCACCUCAGGUCGUCUUCUUGGGAAGCAUCACCCCAGGAUCCUCAUGUGAAAAGCAUCAGACCAACAGCAGGUGGACAUCCUACAGAACACCUGACCAGUACUCCUCAGAAGUUAAGUUCAUGAAACAGGGAGAGAUGGAAGCUUUGACCUGAGAAGACUGGAAGAAACUAAGAUAUUAAUACAUGAGAACCAAACACAAUGUAGAAUCCCAAAGAAGAUCUCACAACAGAGAAAGGCACUGCAGUAAAGUUGUGAAAUCUGAAUAAAGUCCAGGAUUCACAGUAAAGUCCUGAGCAUCUAGGGUACUUCUACAGUUAUGAUUCUGAGCGUGGGUGAUGGCUCAUCUGGGCACCUACUCUCUGCAAGGCUGUGAACCUGAUCCUCUGAGUAAUCUUCAUGACAGUCCUGAGGGGGUGAAGUUGUCCCCACUUGGGGACAGUGAAUGAUGGAAUGAUCUGAUCCCACAUCUUCUGCCAAAGCACACACCAUAGAAACAAGCAUGUGGAUUGCAGGGCAUCACCUCCUUGGUCCUCCUGGGACAUCUCACAUUGACACAGCCCACGCUGCUCAGCCCACCAGCUCUCAGCAGGCCUGCUGCCCCUGACCUGACCCCGGUUCUCUGAGAGGUUGAAAGGCCAUGGUGAGAUAACCCAGCUCCGUGCCCCCACCUGGCAGAAGAUCAGUUAAAAGGCAUCCAAGUGGAGGACCCCCGUGGCUGCCUAUUUAGAGUUCCUUCAGAGCCUCCCGUGAUAACAGCCACCAUGGCUGAGCGCUUACAUAGCAGAGCUUACAGCUAAGAGCAUGGACUCUGAAAUAAGUCACCUGUCAUCUCCAGGCCUUAGUUUGCUCUUCUGUGAAAUGGGCAUAACGGUACCUCUCAGAGUGGUUAUAACUAAAAGAUCAUAUGCAUGAAAAGACACUGCAUGUUGCAUGUUGUCAUGUGGGAACUAAAAGUUGAUCUUGUAGAGUAGAAUAGUGGUUACUGGAGGAUGGGAAGGGUCAGGGGUGCAGGUGGAGAUAGCCCAAGGUAGGUGAAUGGAUACGAAGUUACAGCUAGCUAGGAGGAAUGAGCUCCAGUGUUUUAUAGCAUUGUAGGUGACUGUGAUAGCAAUUUGUUGUAUAUUUUCAAAUAGCCAGAAGGGCAGAUUUUGAAUGUUCCCAACACAAAGAAAUGAUCAAUGUUUAAGGUGGUUUUUAUGUCAAUUACCCUGAUUUGAUCAUUAUACAUUGCAUAACUAUUGUAAUAUCACUGUACCCUAUAAAUAUGUGCAGUUAUGUCAAAUAAAAGCAAAAAUGCUA